CGUUGCCUACGGGGCGCAGCAGUGAGGAAUAUUGGUCAAUGGCCGCAGGGCUGAACCAGCCAAGUCGCGUGAGGGAUGACGGUCCUAUGGAUUGUAAACCUCUUUUGUCAGGGAGCAAAGGGCGCCACGUGUGGCGUUUUGCGAGUACCUGAAGAAAAAGCAUCGGCUAACUCCGUGCCAGCAGCCGCGGUAAUACGGAGGAUGCGAGCGUUAUCCGGAUUUAUUGGGUUUAAAGGGUGCGCAGGCGGUCUGUUAAGUCAGCGGUCAAAGCCCGG
rnacentral:rRNA from 1 species